rnacentral:tRNA from 1 species
GAGGGUAUAGUUCAAGCGGUAGAGCACAUGCUUAGCAUGCACAAGAUCCUGUGCACAAGGUCCUGGGUUCAAUCCCCAGUACCUCCU